UGAUAAAAAGGGGAAUGUAACCCCUAUAAAUGGGUCUACAGCCCACCGCCUAAACACUCGGCCAUCUUACC
rnacentral:tRNA from 1 species